rnacentral:rRNA from 1 species
UACGGGGGGGGCAAGCGUUGUUCGGAAUUACUGGGCGUAAAGCGCGCGUAGGCGGCUUUUCAAGUCAGACGUGAGAGCCCCAGGCUUAACCUGGGAAUUGCGUUUGAUACUGUUAAGCUAGAGUGUGGAAGGGGCUACUGGAAUUCCGUGUGUAGCGGUGAAAUGCGUAGAUAUACGGAGGAACACCGGUGGCGAAGGCGGGUCUCUGGGCAGUAACUGACGCUGAGGAGCGAAAGCGUGGGGAGCGAACAGG